rnacentral:rRNA from 1 species
AUGAGUGAAGCAAAAUACAACAUCUAUUUCAGUCCCAAAGUGUUAAUACAAAAGGCAAAUAUUUGUAAAAAGCUCAAUAUCAUGUUUGAAGCUUUGUUAGAGAAAUACUACUUGGGAUUACACAUGGUUGGAGUUGACAGAAGUGAUAGAUUUGUUCAUCUUUUGAAAAGGAUUAUAACCAGAACGAGAAGCUGGAAGGAAAAAAAUAUCCAUGGGAGAGAAGGAAAUCUUAUUAAAGGCGGUUAUACAUCAAUUAUGGUAAUGUUUGUGUUUAAUAUUCCUAAGAAUUAUGCAAGGAAAUGA